rnacentral:lncRNA from 1 species
CAAUGUAAGCUACCUGAAACAGCUACAGCCCAGGAAGUGGUAUGAUUGUCUCAUUGAAGAAAAAUAAAAGGGAAGAUUUCUGCAGCAGAAGGAAUAAAAGCAACAGAUGAAGAAUGCUGUCCCCGCCGGCUGAAUGACUGCACCCAGCCACUGAACACCAUUUUCUGCAGCUUGCCAAAAUUGAGAAAUGGAAAUGCCACACAAGCCAACGAGCUUGCUUGGGCUGUGAAAUUCCACAUGGUUACCCCAAUGCAAGGGGUAACAGCUGAGAGAAACCUGAAAAUAAUGAAUGUGAUUGAUUACACUUGGGAUACAUAACGAGACUUGUUGAAACCAGUAUAAAAAUAACAUAUAACAGCCUCA